CGGGUGAGUAACACGUGGGUGACCUGCCCUCAGCUCUGGGAUAAGCCCGGGAAACUGGGUCUAAUACCGGAUAUGACUACAUGCUGCAUGGUGUGUGGUGGAAAGUUUUUCGGCUGGGGAUGGGCCCGCGGCCUAUCAGCUUGUUGGUGGGGUGAUGGCCUACCAAGGCGACGACGGGUAGCCGGCCUGAGAGGGCGACCGGCCACACUGGGACUGAGACACGGCCCAG
rnacentral:rRNA from 1 species